GAUAACAGGCUAGUUCCGCCUAAGAGUUCAUAUCGACGGCGGAGUUCGGCACCUCGAUGUCGGCUCACCACAUCCUGGGGGUGGAGAAGCUCCCAAAGGUUUGGCUGUUCGCCAAUUAAAGUGGUACGCGAGCUGGGUUCAGACCGUAAGUUAGUUGAAAGUCCAUAAAGCCAUAAAGUCCAUAAAGUCAGAGCGAUUUGCCAUGACUUUACAAGACUUUAUAGACUUUCGACUUUGGACUGAUUUACCGUCUGAAUCCCGAGGUUGGAUGAAUGGAUCCCACCAUUCAAUGUAUAAGACUUGUCCACGGCGGUCUCGAAAAGCGAUUUUCGAUGACACAGUUGACUGAUAUCGGUGAAGCCCGUAUCUCCGGGAGGGGAGCGAGGUAACACCUAGGGAAGACAGAGUCAUAAAGUUGAAAGUCCAUAAAGCUCAUAAAGUCAGUCCUGACUUUACGGCUUUAAAGAUUUUAGGGACUUUACAGACUUGUGUCGCCCGUAGAGACUACACGUCAACCAUCUUCCUCUUUGCGUGAAGCCACGCGACGAUAAAAGAUGAUCAUAUAGUCCAUUCCGCACUGCAAGGUGCGAAAAGAAGCGUGAGACAGGUUGGUCUCCUAUCUGCUGCAGGCGUUGAUACUUGAGGGGAAUUGACUCUAGUACGAGAGGACCGAGUUGAACGAACCUCUGGUCUACCGGCUGUCGUGCCAACGGCACCGCCGGGCAGCUAUGUUCGGAUCGGAUAAGCGCUGAAAGCAUAUAAGCGCGAAGCCGGCCCCAAGAUCAGGUAUCGGUGAGGCCCGUGAGAGAUGAUCACGUUGAUAGGCUUUAGGUGUACGCGCCGCAAGGCGUUGAGCCGUGAAGUACUAAUCCGCCGAUCCUAUUAGGAAC
rnacentral:rRNA from 1 species